CGUAGGGUGCAAGCGUUGUCCGGAAUUCUUGGGCGUAAAUAGCUCUUAGGCUGUUUGUCGCGUCUGCUGUGAAAUCCCGAGGCUCAACCUCGGGCCUGCAGUGGGUACGGGCAGACUAGAGUGCGGUAGGGGAGAUUGGAACUCCUGGUGUAGCGGUGGAAUGCGCAGAUAUCAGGAAGAACACCGAUGGCGAAGGCAGAUCUCUGGGCCGUAACUGACGCUGAGGAGCGAAAGCAUGGGGAGCGAACAGG
rnacentral:rRNA from 1 species